rnacentral:rRNA from 1 species
GUCGAACGCUGGCGGCGUGCUUAACACAUGCAAGUCGAACGGAAAGGCCCUGCUUUUGUGGGGUGCUCGAGUGGCGAACGGGUGAGUAACACGUGAGUAACCUGCCCUUGACUUUGGGAUAACUUCAGGAAACUGGGGCUAAUACCGGAUAGGAGCUCCUGCUGCAUGGUGGGGGUUGGAAAGUUUCGGCGGUUGGGGAUGGACUCGCGGCUUAUCAGCUUGUUGGUGGGGUAGUGGCUUACCAAGGCUUUGACGGGUAGCCGGCCUGAGAGGGUGACCGGCCACAUUGGGACUGAGAUACGGCCCAGACUCCUACGGGGGGCAGCAGUGGGGAAUAUUGCACAAUGGGCGGAAGCCUGAUGCAGCAACGCCGCGUGCGGGAUGACGGCCUUCGGGUUGUAAACCGCUUUCGCCUGUGACGAAGCGUGAGUGACGGUAAUGGGUAAAGAAGCACCGGCUAACUACGUG